AGAGUUUGAUCAUGGCUCAGAACGAACGCUGGCGGCGUGGAUAAGACAUGCAAGUCGAGCGGGAUUUCUUUUGGUAGCAAUACCGAAGGAAGUCUAGCGGCGAACGGGUGCUUAACACGUGGGCAACCUGCCAAGAAGUGGGGGAUAGCUCGCCGAAAGGCGAAUUAAUACCGCAUGUGAUUAGAGAGGACAUCCUUUCGAAAUUAAAGUCGGGGCAACCUGACGCUUUUUGUGGGGCCCGCGGCCUAUCAGCUAGUUGGUGAGGUAACGGCCCACCAAGGCUUUGACGGGUAGCUGGUCUGAGAGGACGACCAGCCACACUGGGACUGAGACACGGCCCAGACACCUACGGGUGGCAGCAGUCGAGAAUUUUUGACAAUGGGGGAAACCCUGAUCGAGCGACGCCGCGUGGAGGAUGAAGGUCUUCGGAUUGUAAACUCCUGUCAUUGGGGAACAAGUCGCUUACGUUAACUGCGUGAGCGUUGAUAGUACCCGAAGAGGAAGAGACGGCUAACUCUGUGCCAGCAGCCGCGGUAAUACAGAGGUCUCAAGCGUUGUUCGGAUUCAUUGGGCGUAAAGGGUGCGUAGGCGGCGCGGUAAGUCGGGUGUGAAAUCUCGGGGCUUAACUCCGAAACUGCAUUCGAUACUGCCGUGCUUGAGGACUGGAGAGGAGACUGGAAUUUACGGUGUAGCGGUGAAAUGCGUAGAUAUCGUAAGGAAGACCAGUGGCGAAGGCGGGUCUCUGGACAGUUCCUGACGCUGAGGCACGAAGGUCAGGGGAGCAAACGGGAUUAGAUACCCCAGUAGUCC
rnacentral:rRNA from 1 species